GGGUCAGUAGGUUGGUCGUGCCACCGGUACGUACUGGUCUCACUGAUUCCUCCUUCCUGAAGAACCGUAAUGCCAUUAAUUUGGUGUUGCGGGGAAACAGGACUGUUACUUUGAAAAAAUUAGAGUGUUUAAAGCAAGCUAACGCUUGAAUACAUUAGCAUGGAAUAAUGAAAUAGGACGAUCGAUCCUAUUUUGUUGGUUUCUAGGAUUGACGUAAUGAUUAAUAGGGAUAGGG
rnacentral:rRNA from 1 species